GGCUCAAACGUUGCAGGAAGGGUGUCUGAAAGGAUGCCCGUCUACGGACCUGCGACGAGGUGCUGCAUGGUUGUCGUCAGCUCGUGCCGUGAGGUGUCGGCUUAAGUGCCAUAACGAGCGCAACCCCUACCGCCAGUUGCCAACAGGCAAAGCUGGGGACUCUGGCGGGACUGCCGGCGCAAGCUGCGAGGAAGGCGGGGAUGACGUCAAAUCAGCACGGCCCUUACGUCCGGGGCGACACACGUGUUACAAUGGCAGGUACAGCGGGAAGCCACCUGGCGACAGGGAGCGGAACCCGAAAGCCUGUCUCAGUUCGGAUUGGAGUCUGCAACCCGACUCCAUGAAGCUGGAUUCGCUAGUAAUCGCGCAUCAGCCACGGCGCGGUGAAUACGUUCCCGGGCCUUGUACACACCGCCCGUCAAGCCAUGGGAGUCGGGAGUGCCUGAAGUGCGUGAGCGCGAGCAGCGCCCUAGGGCAAAACCGAUGACUGGGGCUAAGUCGUAACAAGGUAGCCGU
rnacentral:rRNA from 1 species